GUUUGGGCUAGUGGUUAUUGUAUUAGGUUGUCAUAGUGGUGACCCAGGUUCGAAUCCUGGUAAAACA